rnacentral:rRNA from 1 species
UACGUAGGGUGCGAGCGUUGUCCGGAAUCAUUGGGCGUAAAGGGCUCGUAGGCGGUCCAUCGCGUCGGGAGUGAAACGCUGGGGCUUAACCCCAGUCCUGCUUUCGAUACGGGUGGACUAGAGGUAGGCAGGGGAGAAUGGAAUUCCCGGUGUAGCGGUGAAAUGCGCAGAUAUCAGGAGGAACACCAAUGGCGAAGGCAGCUCGCUGGGACGUGACUGACGCUGAGACGCGAAAGCGUGGGGAGCAAACAGG